GACGAACGCUGGCGGCGUGCUUAAUACAUGCAAGUCGAACGGACAGGCCCUGCUUUUGCGGCGUGCUCGAGUGGCGAACGGGUGAGUAACACGUGAGUAAACUGCCCUUGACUUUGUGAUAACUCCAGGAAACUGGGGCUAAUAUCGGAUAGGAGCUCCUGCUGCAUGGUGGUGGUUGGAAAGUUUCGGCGGUUGGGGAUAGACUCGCAGCUUAUCAGCUUGUUUGUGGGGUAGUUGCUUACCAAGGUUUUGACGGGUAGCCGGCAUGAGAGGGUGACCGGCGACAUUAGGACUAAGAGACGGACCAGACUCCUACGGGAGGCAGCAGGGGGGAAUAUUGCGCAGUGGCCGGAAGCCUGAGGCAGCAGCGCCGCGUGCGGGAUGACGGCCUUCGGGUGGUAAACCGCUGUCGCAUGUGACGAGGAGUGAGUGACGGUAAUGGGUAAAGAAGCACCGGCUAACUACGUG
rnacentral:rRNA from 1 species